GUAGGCCCGUGCCCCUGCUCGCGCUGCAGCCCGUGGAAGGGUUCCGUCCAGCGUAUCCUUCAGAUCUUGCUGUAGGCCUCUGGUGUCUGUGCGCGCGCGGCAGGGGCGGCGGCGGCGACGGCCGGAGGUGUACGGUCAGCGGGUUGCGGAGGAUCGUGCGGGUCGCAAAGGGAAGCCGAGUGCUCCUGCGGCUCCCAGACUGCAACCAGAACAUGCAUCAUUAUUAGAACCAUCACCCUGCAGCUAGCUUGGAUACCAUUAAAAGGGCUCAUCAGCUGCAAACGGAUUAAAGUAUCUGAUACUCGGGAAGACAGAGUUUCAGGGUUUCUACCUGGAGCUACACCCUCAGGAAGCCCCUCCUUGGCCUCCCUGCACCCAGUCCCAUCCCAACCAGUCACAUCUUGGGCUGUGCGUGGUGUUUCUUGGAAACUGGAACACAGACUCCUCCAGCAGCUCCACAGGUCCCUUGUCCUCAAUGAGCAG
rnacentral:lncRNA from 1 species